UACAGAGGGUGCGAGCGUUGUCCGGAAUCACUGGGCGUAAAGGGCGCGUAGGCGGCCCGCUAAGUCGAACGUGAAAUCCCCAGGCUCAACCUGGGAACUGCGUCCGAUACUGGCAGGCUUGAAUCCGGGAGAGGGAUGUGGAAUUCCAGGUGUAGCGGUGAAAUGCGUAGAUAUCUGGAGGAACACCGGUGGCGAAGGCGGCAUCCUGGACCGGUAUUGACGCUGAGGCGCGAAAGCUAGGGGAGCAAACGGG
rnacentral:rRNA from 1 species